UACGUAGGUGGCGAGCGUUAUCCGGAAUUAUUGGGCGUAAAGAGCGCGCAGGUGGUUGAUUAAGUCUGAUGUGAAAGCCCACGGCUUAACCGUGGAGGGUCAUUGGAAACUGGUCGACUUGAGUGCAGAAGAGGGAAGUGGAAUUCCAUGUGUAGCGGUGAAAUGCGUAGAGAUCUGGAGGAACACCAGUGGCGAAGGCGGCUUCCUGGGCUGUAACUGACACUGAGGCGCGAAAGCGUGGGGAGCAAACAGG
rnacentral:rRNA from 1 species